GCCGGGUGUGGUGGCUCACGCCUGUAAUCCCAGCACUUUGGGAGGCUGAGGCGGGUGGAUCAUCUGAGAUCAGGAGUUCGAGACCAGCCUGGCCAACAUGGUGAAACCCCGUCUCUA
rfam:Macaca mulatta chromosome 16, whole genome shotgun sequence.